UCAAAGUUUGAUUCUGGCUUUAAAAUUAAUUUAAUGAAAGACUUAACAUGCAAAGUAUACUAAAAUUUAUUUGACGCAGUACUUAAUUUUACACUACUUAGUUUAAGGUGUAGCUAUCUAUUUAAUAAUUGAUUAAAAUCGUGCCAGCAUUCGCGGUCACACGAUAAUUUAGAGUUAAUUAGUUCGGUUAUGUUGAAUUUUUUAUUAUUCAAUAGAUAUUAUGAUCUUUAUAUGGGUAAAAUCUUAAAUAUUAUAUGGUUUAUUAAUAUGAAUUUAUUCUAUCUUAAAUCACAUAGACCUGGAUUAGAUACCCAGUUAUAAAAAAGUUAUUAAUACCUUAGUAGUAAUGGAAGAAACUUAAAGAAUUUGGCGGUAAAUUAAUCCUUAUAGAGGAAUUUGUUAAUGAAUCGAUAAUCCACGUUUAUCUCUCUUAUUUUAUAUCUAUAUAUCGUUGUUUAAAGAAAUAAGCUAAAGCUUUUAUCUUAAUUUUAAAUAAAAUUAAAUCAAAUCAAGGUUUAGUUAUUUUUAAGAUUUAAUGAAUUACAAUUUUUAAAAAAAGUGAAUUAUUCAAUUAUAUUUGAGUUUGAAAUUGGAUUUAUAAGUAUGUUGAUUAAAUUAAAGUUAAUUGAAAUGGCUCUAAUUUAUGUACAAAUCGCCCGUCACUCUCGUUUCUAAAAUGAGAUAAGUCGUAACAAAGUAGAUUCACUGGAAAGUGCUUCUUGUAUGUA
rnacentral:ncRNA from 1 species